AAGACGCCUAGCCUCGCCACCCCCCCACGGGACCCAGCAGUAAUAAACAUUAAGCAAUGAGCGCCUUCCCCCAGCUCGACUUAGUUAUGAUGUAAGGGCUGGUAAAUUUCGUGCCAGCCACCGCGGUUAUACGAAAAGCCCAAAAUAAUUUUUCCGGCGUAAAGCGUGAUCAGAAAAUAAAAGUCCAUAAAUGAAAUACGAACUCUACCUAAGUUAUAAAACACACUAAGGAAGCAGGAACCACAACGAUUUCCCCACUAAGACCCUUUGACUCACGAAAACUAAGAAACAAACUGGGAUUAGAUACCCUACUAUGCUUAGUCAUAAACAUAGAUCUUAAUUAUACAAAAAUUCCGCCAGAGGAUUACUAGUGAAAAACUUAAAACUCGAAGGACUUGACGUAUCUCAUAUCAACCUAGAGGAGCCUGUCCUAUAAUCGAUACUCCACGAAAAACCUCACCCUCUUUAGCAAAAUUCAGCCUAUAUACCGCCGUCGGUCAGCCUACCUUAUGAAAGACCCUAAGUAGACACAACUAGUUAAACCACAAAAACGUCAGGUCAAGGUGUAGCAUAUAAGAGGGAAAGAGAUGGGCUACAUUCCCUCAAAGGGAAAACAGCAUAUACCCUGAAAAACUAUAAAAAGGUGGAUUUAGUA
rnacentral:rRNA from 1 species